CAAUGCUUCGUGCCACCCUGGCAUACAUGUGGCUAGCUAUCAGCAGAGAGAGGAGAUAUUGCUCAUAUAAAUUCCUCAGUGUUGGUUAUUUCUCACUGCAGUUAGCAAGAGAAGUUCUUGAGCCAAGAUCUUUGCAGUGCGAGUGCACUGAGUAUUUCCCAUUAGGAACUUCUUGUCAGAGAGGAGCUUCACAAGUAAUGAUCUUCUGUAAACCUGCAAAAACAGCAAUUAGAAACUGGGAUCCAGCUCCUGGGUGAGUCAGUUUGGAGGCUCCUGCGGCGGGUCAGGAAAGCUGGGAAUGCUCACUCCAGCACUGGUCCCAAGUCCGAAUCUGUCCCCUUUUCCCAGGCCAUGGAUGCUGCAAAGGAAACCACAGCAUCUCUGACGGAGCCUUGUGUGAGCAGGGAGGGCAGAAGCCACCUUGCAAUGCUCAGCUGGAAUCAGGGACCCCCAGCUCAGUGGGCUCAGUGCUCAGGGGGUGCUGGCUCUGACCCCAACCACCCUGUCCCUGAAUUAUCCACCUGGUAAAUACCUCAGAUACAGGAAAAAAAAAUAAUGUUGAAGAACAGUAUUUCUCUGAGGAAAGACUAAUGGGAUCAGGCCCUAAAUUAUUAUCCUCAUGAUAUCUAAUAUAUCAAACAAUGGAAAAUGUGGGAAGAUAAUUAUAAAAUAGAUAUAUGUUUUUAAGUUUAGGAAGUUAAUGUCCCUUGGAUUUUUUUCAAGAUGUUUUUAUGAAUAUUGAAUGCUGUAAACCAAAUACAAAGCAAGAACUGGACUUCAUUUGUUCUGGUUUUGGGAAGGGUAAGGAUUUUUUUGAACACUGAAGUUAUUUCAGUCGUAGGAAGUCGAAAACUAAUGAAAAAUCGUUCUUUUCUGAUGGGUCGUGUAUUCAAUUGGCUCUCAGUGGGAAGUAAACGGAGUCAAGAGUGUUUUUCUUUAUUACUCUGAAUGUCUACUGUCCCUUAUUUGUGAAAGAAAAGAUAAAGAUGCUGUAACAAAGUAUUUGGGGGAAAAUGUAGAAUAAGGUUCGAAAAUAAAGACAAAUCUGAAAGGAAUAUAUCA
rnacentral:lncRNA from 1 species